AUUGAACGCUGGCGGCAGGCCUAACACAUGCAAGUCGAGCGCAGCGGCGGACGGGUGAUUAAUGCCUAGGAAUCUGCCUGUUAGUGGGGUAUAACGUCCGGAAACGGGCGCUAAUACCGCAUACUAUCAGAUGAGCCUAGGUCGGAUUAGCUAGGUGGUGGGUGAAAGGCCUACCAAGGCGACGAUCCGUAACUGGUCCGAGAGGAUGAUCAGUCACACUGGAACUGAGACACGGUCCAGACUCCUACGGGAGGCAGCAGUGGGGAAUAUUGGACAAUGGGCGAAAGCCUGAGCCAGCCAUGCCGCGUGUGUGAAGAAGGUUUUCGGAUUGUAAAGCACUGUAAGUUGGGAGGCGUUACCAACAGAAUAAGCACCGGCUAACUUCGUGCCAGCAGCCGCGGUAAUUC
rnacentral:rRNA from 1 species